UACGUAGGUGGCAAGCGUUGUCCGGAUUUACUGGGCGUAAAGGGCUCGUAGGCGGCCAACUAAGUCAUACGUGAAAUCCCUCAGCUUAACUGGGGAACUGCGUGUGAUACUGGAUGGCUUGAGUUCGGGAGAGGAUGCGGAAUUCCAGGUGUAGCGGUGAAAUGCGUAGAUAUCUGGAGGAACACCGGUGGCGAAGGCGGCAUCCUGGACCGACACUGACGCUGAGGAGCGAAAGCCAGGGGAGCAAACGGG
rnacentral:rRNA from 1 species